CCCAGUCGAGUUGCCAGAGUAUGCAGCUGCUUCUCUUGCAGCUGGCAUAGUAAAAAUGUUGACGACUAACAAGCAGCAGGAAACCUUUCUUUCCAAUUCAGUCAUUACAGCAGGGGUUGAUGCUUUCUCGCCGUUAAUGGGGUGCACGCUCCUGGCCGCUGGCUGCAGUAUUAUUUUUCUUGCUUUAUUGACGGGCGUUGUUUUUGUUUGAUUGGAUUUGAGUUUUGAAAAAGAGCGUCUAGACAACGAUAUGUCAGUGGCAGGAGGAUGAUGGACUUAGGUACUAGGAAAAGGAGAGAAACCUAGACGGGAAAAAACGGGUUCUUUCCUACAGCUGUUACUGUUGGUGGAACGUGUCUGGUCUUAGCAGUUAGCUGCUGGGAUGGAAGAGGCUGCCAGCGGGGAACGGUUCCAGGGCCGGUGUCAGCCCGGGCCGAUGACACUACCCCGCACCCAGCCCCUCGCCGGGGAGGAGCGCGGGUGGCAGGAAACGCCGCGCUGCCACUAUUUUUCAGAACCUUCAAUCUGCCCUGACGCUGAUGAGCCACUCAGUAAUGCCCUGGGAGCUUCACUCUAGAACGGGGAAAGGGGGAUAGGAUGAAGUUUUUGCUCAGAUCUUUCCGAGGCCGCACUGCCCAUCUCGCGUGAAUGCUUGGAGACAAAUGCCUGGCUCAAGUUGGAAAAGACAGACAAGAGAUUGUGCCGGGGAAACCCCCCGGAGAGUGCGUUCAACAGGACAGGUGGACGGAAGCACAGGCGGUGUGCUAGGUACUAAAGACACGAAAAUGCAAUCCUUGCUUUCAGCAAGCUCACUACGGUCUAACGGAGACGACUUUUAACAUAAAUAGUAAUUGUAAAACGAUGUGAUGAGUCCAAUGAUGGAAUAAUGAAGGAGGACGGCAGAGGGCCACUUAACUGGCCAGGAAGGCUUGGACAUGGUGACGCCCACCAUAGAUCAUGCCGGAUAAGGAGGAGCAGACCUAGCGAACAGGAGGCAAAGACCAUUGGAAGACAAUGGGGAAGAGAGCCUCAGAAUUACCUUGAGAGCUUUUUAAAAGUACAUGUGAUUCCACAGGGGGAAAUUGCAAAACAGACAGAUCACAACCCCAUAGAAUUGUAUGAUCUGCCUUUUUACUUACCUAGGUCUAAAAUAAAUCUAUUGGAUAAUUUUUCA